rnacentral:rRNA from 1 species
AAGCGGCGGACGGGUGAGUAACACGUGAUCCAGCUGCCCGCGAGCCCGGGAUAACCGCGGGAAACUGCGGCUAAUACCGGAUGGCCUUGCGUGAACGCAUGUUCGCGCAUGUAAAGGCGGGGAUCCUUCGGGACCUGUCGCUCGAGGAGGCGAUCACGGCCUAUCAGCUAGUUGGCGGGGUAACGGCCCACCAAGGCGAAGACGGGUAGCAGGCCUGAGAGGGUGGUCUGCCACACUGGGACUGAGACACUGCCCAGACUCCUACGGGAGACUGCAGUCGAGAAUCUUCCGCAAUGGGCGAAAGCCUGACGGAGCGACGCCGCGUGGAGGACGAAGGCCCUUGGGUUGUAAACUCCUGUCACGGGUUAUGAAUGUUCAGGCGAUAAUACCGUCUGAAUUGACGUAUGCCCGAGAGGAAGCACCGGCUAACUCUGUGCCAGCAGCCGCGGUAAUACAGAGGGUGCAAACGUUGUUCGGAAUCACUGGGCAUAAAGCGCACGUAGGCGGCCUUGUAAGUGUGGAGUGAAAUCCCACGGCUCAACCGUGGAACUGCUUGGCAUACUGCAAGGCUAGAGGACGGUAGGGGAGAGCGGAACUCCUGGUGGAGCGGUGAAAUGCGUAGAUAUCAGGAGGAACACCGGUGGCGAAGGCGGCUCUCUGGUCCGUUAC